ensembl:lncRNA
GGAAAGGUGAAGCGGCUCCUUCUGUCUGUCUGGAUUUUGCACCCCGUGGUGGGACAAUUGGCUGGGUGCUUACUUCUCGGAAGUGGCCACAUCAUUUUACACCCCCAUCAGCAGUCUAUGAGUUCCCUGGGACUUUUUAACUUGGAUCAAGAAAGACUGGGUUCUGAGUCUCUGGGCACUACUCGUCUAGAAGAAUGGAAAUGAUACCCAAGUUCAUCGGGGAAAAUGUGAAAGAAGGAAAGAGUUGAAGUCAUCACUGAAACUCUGCUCUAUCCCAUCUUCUUCUUCUUUUGGUGAGGAAGGUUAGCCCUGAGCUAACAUCUGUGCCAGUCUUCCUCUAUUUUGUAUGUGGGUCACUGCCACAGCAUGGCUGAUGAGUGGUGUAGGUCUAUGCCUGGGAUCCCAACCCACAAACCAGGGCUGCUGAAGCAGAGUGCGCCCAACUUAAUCACUACACCACUGAGCCGGCCUCUGUCCCAUCUUCUUCCUUGCGGUUACACAAGUCAGAAAAUUCCCCCUUCUUGCCUAAGCUGUGAGUUGGGUUUCUGUCACCCCAAGUGUCCUGACUGAUACCAUCUUCUCAGCGCUGAAUUCAGAAUCUUGAUGGCUCAAAUUGUGUUUGAGAGUGCUCCAGGUAGAACCCUCCACAGGUACUGGAGGACAUGUUCAUGUCACCAUGCAAGCUCUGAGUCUGCACUUUUGUGUCAUUAUGCCAGGUGAGUCAGCUCAGCAGACAGAGGGUCCUGUGAGACCUUUCUAUACCAAGACAGACGACCUACCUGUAUGUGGAGCCUAGACAGCCACCAAAUGCAAACUGAUGUAUCCCCAAUUCAAUUUCCCCUUAAUAAGACUCCAAAAAUGCCACAGCCAUUCCAAAGCCAUAUGACAGCAAGAAGGUCAGAGUGGAAAGAGUCAGCGAUCUCAACCGAUUGCAGUUAGAACGACUUGUGUAAGAAGCACAUGACCAUGUGAACACACUGCUAGGGCCUCUCCCAGGACUUAGCGAGGGCCCCGUGCCAGGGAGGGGUUCUGAAGCUUAAACCGGACUAGCUUCAUGGUCAAUCUGCCUCACAAUGGACACCUCUGCCAUCUUCAAAAACCCCGCAAAUGUUCAUUCGAGAAAAACUUCUCCAUCUUCACAUGCCGGACCCUGUGCUGGGGACAGAUGAGGCAGGAGCGAACAAAGCAAGCUGAGUGCAAAUCUGACUUCUAGGCAUCACAGCCUCCCCGAGGGGCCUGGCCCAGGAAGGCUGGGCUCUCCAGGGAUGAGUCAUCAGAUGAAGGAGAAAAACCAGCCUCAGCUUAGGCUGGAGAGUAUGGCCUUCCUCUUGGAGGAGCGUAGUGAAACCUCCUGGGAGACGAAGCCUCCUCCUUGGGUUAUUCUCCCAGGAUGAUCCUGAUGCUGGAGAGCCUUUAACAAUGGGAGUUUGAGCCCAGUGCACGGGAGUCAAAUCCCCCACAUCAGACCUUGGAGCCACGCUUCUCCCAGGAAACUUGCCCUGCCCGGAGUCCUGGACCUGGGGGACUAGAACCUCAGCCUCCACGUCCAACCUCCCGCCUUGGCUCACAAUCUUCCUGCUUUUGCCUGGGAUGAGCAGAAACUCACAAAUGCCUAAACCAGUCCUUCCUGCCAGGGACUAACCAGUCUCAGCUGCCAGCCUCAGCUCCGGCCCAGCCUCGUUCAGGACUGUGGUGCUGUAAAUCGUUUGAAGGACACAUACCUCUGGGUGUUCCCCUCUCUGAGCCUCACUCUCUUCAUAUGUCAAGUGGGAUGACAAUGGACUACCAACUAACUCCAGGAGGGCUGUGCAGCAUGUCUUGUCCGCCCCUGUAGUCUCAGCCCAGUUGAGUGGAUGGCACACAGUAGGUGCUCAAUAAGUGUUUGUUAAGUGAAUGGAUGGAAUAAAGAGAUCCCUGACUUCUGUGUGGAGGGGGAGUAUACUUGCAAUAGUUGGUACUUAAUCAGUUGCAGGUGACAGACACCAACGCAAACUGGCAUGAGAAGGAGAGACUGUAUCGGUUCACACCACUGAAGUGCAGGGUAGUUCCAGCUUCAGGAUUUAUGGCUCCACUGACAUUACCAUGAAUUGAUCUGUCUCCACCUCUGCACUUGGCUUUCCUCUCUGUUGGAGUUAGCCUCAGGUAGGUCCAGGCGUAUAGUCCAGCAGAAAGAGACAAGUUUGUUCUCAAAAAUUCAAACAAAAGUCUCAGAAUUUAGUCUCAUUAGACUGACUUGGGUCCCUUGAACGUCCUUGAAUCAAUCACUGUGUCCAGGGACAUUUGAUGCUCCGAUCAUCCAAGGCUGCCCCUGGAGGUGACCCACCAGUGGGCAGGAGAGGUUUUGUAAAGGAAAAUCUAGGUUCUGUCACCAGGAAAGGGCAG